UACGAAGGGUGCAAGCGUUAAUCGGAAUUACUGGGCGUAAAGCGUGCGUAGGCGGUUAUUUAAGUCUGUUGUGAAAUCCCCGGGCUCAACCUGGGAAUGGCAAUGGAUACUGGAUAGCUAGAGUGUGAUAGAGGAUGGUGGAAUUCCCGGUGUAGCGGUGAAAUGCGUAGAGAUCGGGAGGAACAUCAGUGGCGAAGGCGGCCAUCUGGACCGGAACUGACGCUGAUGCGCGAAAGCGUGGGUAGCAAACAGG
rnacentral:rRNA from 1 species